rnacentral:lncRNA from 1 species
CUACCCAGAAGAGUGGCUCAAGUUCACAUUCAGAAUUUAUUUGUUGAAAGAGUAUCUCCACUUUAUCACAAUCGAGCACUUCCAAUUCUUUCAGAAGUGGCCAGCUUGAACUAAACCUUCUAGAGCAAAAUCUUUUGAGUUGGUGUAAACCGGAGAGUGUGAGAGAGGUAAGGUUAGGGAAUGAGAGUAAAGGUGCUGCUUCAUCUUCAUUUUCAUUGGCAACAAUUGCCUCCACUCCACUCUCCGAUAUAUAAAGGUCCUCAAGUUGCACAAGAGCACUCGCCACAGAAACCGGAAAAAGGUUUAGCAAUUUGUUGCAUCCCCUUACUUGCAAUUUCCUUAAUUUGGAAAAUGAAUUUGCUGGAAGUUGGUCAGGCCACAAUGCUCUUAUAUUAUCUAGUCCGCGUACAGACAAGGACUCCAAACCUGGGAGUGCAACCUGUGCAAUUGAUGAUCCCUUUAGUUAAUAAUAUAUACAUAUACAUUCCUAAUAAUUAGACACAUGUAAAUAGAAAAUAAGAGGUUAAAGGAGAAUAUAUCAGUAUAACAAAGCACAAAAUUUAAACUCUAUUCAAGAAGAUCCAGAAAGAGAAAAGAAAACGCCUUUUGAUUUUGAAGAUCCAAUGAAACUUUAAAAAAAAAAAAAAAAACCUCCAAAUUUUGCUUUCCAAAUGAGGUAAUAGGAGGAUAUUUUUAUUUUAUUUUUUCUUUGCCUCUCUUUCAAAUUUGAUUAACUUCCAUGGAAAACGUAUUUUAACUAGCCAUGGAAAAUGGAUUUUUUUUUUAAAACUUUUAUAUAAGAUACAAGAACUCUUAGAGGGUUACAUUAUGUAAGUAAUACUUUAAAAAAAAUGUUUAAAAAUAUUGUGAUAUCCAAAAAUUUUACUACCUCGGAUUUUAAAUUUUAAAAAAAUUAUUUUUAAAGAAAUAAGGUAAAUCUAUACUUUUUCGUAUAAGAUAUUCUACCUUUAUAUACAAAUUUCUGAUUUUUUUUUUAAAGUGUAUCCAAAUGGACACUAAACUAUCUAGUUUCGAAUUUUUACAACUUUGAAUUGGAUUUUAUGGUAAACUAAUUGACAAUAUAACGCAUGGAUUCAUCUUAGAUUCCAUCUAUAAAUUUUUUAAUUAUCUAAUAUAAGACAUUAUAUUAAUGGGUUGAAUUAAUAAUGUAAUUAUAAUUUAUUUGGCAACUUUCUUCCUUCAAAUAUAUAAGACGAAAAUAUAUUUUAAAAAAUAAAAAAGAAUGAUAAAAAAUAGAAAAUAAAAAUAGCUUAUUUUAUUGUUUUUCUAAGAUGAUUUUGUAGAGUGUUAGUUUAUAGUUUAACUUUAUUUCAUUUUACUUUUAACAUUAUUUAUUGAGGUAUGUUCUUUUUUGAAACUCUUGUUUAGAUUUUAUAGAGAAUAUAAAUUUUAAGAAAAAAAAUGAAAUUUAAAUAAAAUAAGAAUAAAGAAAGGCAAAAGGUGGAUGAAUUUUUUGAAGGCAAAAGUUUGAUAAUUUGGCACUGUCAUGUAAUGGGUGAAAUUUUUAAAUACUCAACAAAGGCUAGUGAAAUUUAAAUUAAAACCUUGACAUGUACCUUUUCGACCAAAAUCUUUGGAGUUGGUGUAAAGUUUUGAGUAUGAGAGAGGUUAGUCUAGGGAAUAUUAUUGCACAUUAGUUCAAAUAAAACAUCAACAUUUUUUUUUGUUAAAUUCUAAAUGAACACCACUAUAAAUUAAUGCGAUUUUGUAUGCUCAAUUAAAUAAACUCGUUCUUAAGGCAUCACAUGAAGUGUUUAAGUCUAAUUAAUAUUAAUUAAAAAUGAUUAUAUCAAAAAAAAUCCAAAGUAAUUUUUUUUUAUCAUAAGUCAAGUAGGAUAGUUUUAUAAAUAAUUGGUUCUAGUUUCUAGUAUUAUUGUACACAAUCGCUAUGUUUGUUGCACCUCCAAAAAAUCUACUACUUGUAAUUAAUUGUAUAUUAUUCUCCAUAUUCACAUCAGUUUAUGUAGUAUGAUUAAUUUAGCAACAAAAUAUAAGUUUACUUGAAAUCGCUUUAAAUUCCUAUGAUAUUAAAGUUUAAGAUUAAAACAAUGUAACAUUAGCCAAAAAGACUAAGAUCUAUAAUGUAACAAAUAAAAUUUAGAAAAUUCAAGGCAGGGUAAACUCGCACCUGUUCUACCCAGAAGAGUGGCUCAAGUUCACAUUCAGAAUUUAUUUGUUGAAAGAGUAUCUCCACUUUAUCACAAUCGAGCACUUCCAAUUCUUUCAGAAGUAGCCAGCUUGAACUAAACCUUCUAGAGCAAAAUCUUUUGAGUUGGUGUAAACCGGAGAGUGUGAGAGAGGUAAGGUUAGGGAAUAAGAGUAAAGGUGCUGCUUCAUCUUCAUUUUCAUUGGCAACAAUUGCCUCCACUCCACUCUCCGAUAUAUAUAGGUCCUCAAGUUGCACAAGAGCACUCGCCACAGAAACCCGAAAAAGGUUUAGCAAUUUGUUGAAUCCCCUUACAUGCAAUUUCCUUAAUUUGGAAAAUGAAUUUGUUGGAAGUUGGUCAGGCCACAAUGCUCUUAUAUUAUCCAGUCCGCAUACAUACAAGGACUCCAAGCCUUGGAGUGCAACCUGUGCAAUUGAUAAUCCCUUUGGUUAAUAAUAUAUACAUAUACAUUCCUAAUGAUUAGACACAUGUAAAUAGAAAAUAAGAGGUUAAAGGAGAAUAUAUCAGUAUAACAAAGCACAAAAUUUAAACUAGAUUAAAGAAGAUCAAGAAAGAGAAAAGAAAAGAAAAAGCCUCCAGAUUUUGAAGAUACAAUGAAACUUAAAAAAAAAAAAAAAAAACCUCCAAAUUUUCCUUUCGAAAUGAGGUAAUAAGAGGAUUUUUUUUUUCUUUUUUCUUUGCCUCUCUUUCAAAUUUGAUUAACUUCUAUGGAAAACGUAUUUUAACUAGUUAUGGAAAACGGAUUUUUUUUUUUAAAAACUUUUAUAUAAGAUACAAGUAAUACUUUAAAAAAAUUGUGAUAUCUAAAAAAUUUUUUGAAAAAUUAUUUUUAAAGAAAUAAGGUAAAUCUAUACUUUUUGUAUAAGAUGUUCUACCUUUGUAUUCAAAUUUCUGAUUUUUUUUUUUUAAAGUGUAUCCAAAUGCACACUAAACUAUCUAGUUUUUAAUUGUUACAACUUUGAAUUGGAUUUUAUGGUAAACUAAUUUACAAGUUAAUGCAUAGAUUCAUCUUAGAUUCCAUCUAUAAAUUUUUUUAAUUAUCUAAUAUAAGACAGUAUAUUAAUGGGUUGAAUUAAUAAUGUAAUUAUAAUUUAUUUGGCAACUUUCUUCCUUCAAAUAUAUAAAAUGAAAAUAAAUUUUAAAAAAUAAAAAAUAAAAAAAAGAUUUUUUUUAUAGUUUUUCUAAGAUGAUUUUGUAGAGUUCUGUUAGUUUAUAGUUUUCACUUUAUUUAUUGAGGUAUGUUCUUUUUUGAAACUCUUGUUUAGAUUUUAUUGAGAAUAUAAAUUUUAAGAAAAAAAAUAAAAUUUAAAUAAAAUAAGAAUAAAGAAAGGCAAAAGCUGGAUGAAUUUUUUUAAGGCAAAAGUUUGAUAAUUUGGCACUCUCAUGUAAUGGGUGAAAUUUUUAAAUACUCAACAAAGGCUAGUGAAAUUUAAAUUAAAACCAUGACAUGUACCUUUUAGACCAAAAUCUUUGGAGUUGGUGUAAUGUUUUGAGUAUGAGAGAGGUUAGUCUAGGGAAUAUUAUUGCACAUUAGUUCAAAUAAAACAUCAACAUUUUUUUUUGUUAAAUUCUAAAUGAACACCACUAUAAAUUAAUGCGAUUUUGUAUGCUCAAUUAAAUAAACUCGUUCUUAAGGCAUCACAUGAAGUGUUUAAGUCUAAUUAAUAUUAAUUAAAAAUGAUUAUAGUAAAAAAAAUCCAAAGUAAUUUUUUUUUAUCAUAAGUCAAGUAGGAUAGUUUUAUAAAUAAUUGGUUCUAGUUUCUAGUAUUAUUGUAGACAAUCGCUAUGUUUGUUGCACCUCCAAAAAAUCUACUACUUGUAAUUAAUUGUAUAUUAUUCUCCAUAUUCACAUCAGUUUAUGUAGUAUGAUUAAUUUAGCAACAAAAUAUAAGUUUACUUGAAAUGGCUUUAAAUUCCUAUGAUAUUAAAGUUUAAGAUUAAAACAAUGUAACAUUAGCAAAAAAGAUUAAGAUCUAUAAUGUAACAAAUAAAAUUUAGAAAAUUCAAGGCAGGGUAAACUCGCACCUGUUCUACCCAGAAGAGUGGCUCAAGUUCACAUUCAGAAUUUAUUUGUUGAAAGAGUAUCUCCACUUUAUCACAAUCGAGCACUUCCAAUUCUUUCAGAAGUAGCCAGCUUGAACUAAACCUUCUAGAGCAAAAUCUUUUGAGUUGGUGUAAACCGGAGAGUGUGAGAGAGGUAAGGUUAGGGAAUAAGAGUAAAGGUGCUGCUUCAUCUUCAUUUUCAUUGGCAACAAUUGCCUCCACUCCACUCUCUGAUAUAUAUAGGUCCUCAAGUUGCACAAGAGCACUCGCCACAGAAACCCGAAAAAGGUUUAGCAAUUUGUUGAAUCCCCUUACAUGCAAUUUCCUUAAUUUGGAAAAUGAAUUUGUUGGAAGUUGGUCAGGCCACAAUGCUCUUAUAUUAUCCAGUCCGCAUACAUACAAGGACUCCAAGCCUGGGAGUGCAACCUGUGCAAUUGAUAAUCCCUUUGGUUAAUAAUAUAUACAUAUACAUUCCUAAUAAUUAGACACAUGUAAAUAGAAAAUAAGAGGUUAAAGG